CAGCGACAGCGUAUGCAUAUACAUUAAAUAAGUAAAUAAACCUUAAAAAAGAAAAUCCCAUGAGGAGUGGAAGUGUUCAAAGCAGGGUAAAAACAAUGCAGGCUUUCUGCAGGGCUGUGACAAUGAGCAGGGUUUCAAUAAAUGCCCCAUAGUUAUUGAGAUUUCAAACCCUCUUCCUUCCUCUCUUCGUGGGGCUCCUUAGUGGAUGUUGGCUGGUUCCUGAGAGUGCCUUUGGAUCUCUGAAGCCCCAAGUUCUGGCAGCUCUUCUUUUGCACCUCCCCCUCUUUUCUGGUUCCCUGUUUAUCACAGGUUGUUCCUGUACCUGGCUGGGCACUGCCAUCUAGAGGCUACUGGGCCACAGGGCAGCUGAUCCUUGUUCUAUACCAGAUCACUGGUCUCCAGCCCCGGGGAUCCCUGGUAGUACAGGCAUGGCCUCUUGGAGGGUCCCCUGUUUUUGUGAAGCCUAUGAAUAAGUCAGCACUAGAGAGACCCUUUGAGGUACAGUGUCCGUGAAAAUUUUAAGGGACCAAGAAAGCCUGUGAGAACAGUGUUUCACAAUCCGUGGUUCUUUGAAGCAACUGUAGGUGGGACAUUAUCCUAGAGAACCCCUGGGGCCAUCCUCACUUCCCUAAUCAGACUUUGUGGGUGGUAGUAUGCUUCCUGUGUGAGUUCUAUCUGAACACUAUCUGGUGGUGGUGGGUCAGCCCCCUCCCCCCAAAUCUAAUAAACCACAUGACAAGGCUUCCCGGGAAACAGACAGACACACCCCAGGAGCUAACUUGAGUCUUUCUGGUGCAUUGUGUAUUUCCUGAGGCUGGUCUGCACUCUGAAAGAAUUCCAGGUCUCGAGAAUGAGUGUCAAGUGCUAAUUAACCUCCUAUUAUGGUCUAGUCGCUGUGCCCCUGGACACACUGAAUACAGGAUGGAGGGGAUGGGGUGUGGCUGCUACGUCUGUGGAGUUUAUGGGCUAGUGAAGGCAGACAGCUGGUGGAACAAGUCUUGUAGGCAGCCUGGGUCUGGAGCGGGUACAGGUGACAUGGAACGGAAAUGAAGUUUGGAGCCUCUUCUUGAGAAGUGGAGGCAGGAAGUCAGGAAUUCCAGGCAAUCCUUGGAUAGGUGUGGAAUUUGAGGCUAGCCUGGGCUCCUUGAGACUAGUGGCAAAGUUAGUUAAAUCAAAGGUUAACUAAGUUAACUUCACUUUGAUGGUUAACCCUGACUGUCGACUUGAUGGGCUUCGAAGUCACCAUAUAAACAGGUUUCUGGGCAUGCAUGUGAAGGAUUUUCUAGAUUAAUUGAGGUGUGACGAACAGCCCUAAAUGUGGGUGGUGCUAUUCCAUCAGUUCUAGUCUCAGUUCAAAUAAAAAGAAGAAAGUCAACUGAGCACCAGCAGCGACUCUCUGCUUCCUGACUGUGGACAUCAUGUGGCCAGCUGAGUCACCUCCUGCCGCCUCUGGGACCACUCAGACUGUAAGCCAAAAUAAGCUCUCUCUCCCCUUCUUGUGUAGUUAGUCAGGUGUUUUAUCAGAACAGUGAAUGUAGGUUGAUGUCCUUAUGCAGGUGAAGGCAGACAAGAUAAAACGAACCCUGUCAUUGGACAAGAAGAAAGGGAGGUGGGAACAGAGGCUUUAGAAGAAGAGGGAGGAGCAAAAAGGGAGAAGCAACACGGAGGCGGACGUAAACGAUCCUCGCCAUGCAUCUCUACAUAGAUACAGCUGGAGAUGAGAUAGAAGACCGAUCGAUCCGUUAGGAUGUUAACCUACUGUCUUCUCAGGUUGCUGGCUCUUUGGAUGACGUUUGAAGAUCACCCACGCUCACUGGCUUCUGUAAUGAUGGUGGCUGGAUGUGAUGGUUUGCAUGUGCUCGGCCAGAGAGUG
rnacentral:sRNA from 1 species